GUGAAAGUUAUGGAACAAAUGGAAACACUUCCUAGAAAGAUGCUACAGCUUGUACUUGCGAAAGCUUUGAUGAAUUAAUGUGUAGUGAUAUCCUUACUCUUAUUAGACCUGAGGUACCUGUGAGAAGGGCUUUUGCUACCUAAGGACUGCACCUACGCUGGAGUACUACCUGAUGUGGGAUUGGGAAUGUGCUACUGGAAUACAGCCUGCAGCUGCUCAGAGACUGUCUGACAACGGUCAGCUGAUGUUUUUUGGACUGAUGCAGCACUGAUGACGGGAAUGUGAUCUGUGCUCUAGGUUUGGAGGGGAUGCUCCUGGGGGCUGAUAUUUCAUAUCACCAGCUUGCCAUGCCCGUCUAUGACAGGGAGAACAUUUUAGUCGCUCGCCUUGUUGGGUUGCAAACCUUUAUGAACACCGCAACGAAUAUCCCCGGUAAGUGGAAGAUUAAUUUCUGUACCACCUGGCAGCAAGCUGUGGAUUAGGCUGCUGUCCCUCGUGUGGGUUUAAUGUUGGAGGAAUGGGGCACUGGAGCACCCAGACAAUCAGCCUUUUGUUUAAACAAUGAGCUUCUCGGUCUCGUUAGCCAGCGCUCUUAAAUUUUCAUUUUAUUCUGGAAUGCAGGCUUGUGUGAUGUGGAGAAUUGCUUCUGCACAGAGAGACUGCAAACCUGUUCAAUUAAAGGAAAUGCUCAGAUCCAGCUGUUGGAGUCCCAUGAAUGCCAGGACUCCUCACAGGGUAAGACCAGCGCACUCUGCCCUUGGAACAGAUACGACGAUUUGCGCCCUAAUUCUCCUGAAAAAAAGAGUCUUUGUUGGGAGAGGACGACUGGGGAAAGGAGGAGGAAUGCAGAGCGUGUGCAGAAAAUGCCCAGUGAGACCAAGUUUUCUGCAGAUAACAGAGGGGGCUCUAUAGCAUGAGCCUGGUAACGAGGCACCACCAGAAGCACGUACGGUACAAGCUCCUGUUACAGCCAUAGAAUUGUCUUGUAAGUUUGUAAAUGCUUUCCUCUCAUGAAAAAACAUAUGUUGUGGAGUAACUUACCCUGUGCUUUCACUUCCAAGGAGCAGGCCAACAAGCACAGCCCUGGUGUGUGACCAUACACUGCACUAUUUUUGCCUGGGCAUUUGGUUAUCUUAGUUUUGGUGACAAGUUUCUGCACGCUUUUGUAGGUGGCAGAGGUGUUGGGUGUUGGAUGGUCACCUAGAUAUGCCAGAUGUUUUUGUACAGGUCUUUUUAUAAAAGCCCUUUUAUAUCUUUUAUGUAUAGCUACACAUACCAAUAGACAUUUUUAUAUAUUUUUAUAUAUAUAUAUAUAAUUUAUCUAAAUAUUUAAUAUUAUAUAUAUUUUUGCAUAUAUAUAAAGGGCUGUAGCUGUUUCAGUAGGUGCUGAAUACACUUCAGCAACAAAUGCACAGCAGCUGACUUAAUGCUCAUGUCUCAACCAAGAGCUGAGUUCCCAAGGCUGAGGCAGGGGAAGGAAGACAUUGGAAUGGGAUGAACCACAGGAAGAAAUUAUGAGCUUCACCUGAGUGGCAGAAGCCAUCUUCCUACAAGCACCUGGAAUCCUCACCCCAAAGCAGGGGCUGGUAACCUCUUGUCUGACUUCAGGAACCAUCGUGUCUCUGGAAAUGCAGUUUUCCCCACUCCUGCUGUUGUUCCUCCCUCAAUCUCACUUUGUUGACUGUUUAAAAAUUGUGGCAUGAGGGCUUUAAAAAGAUACUAGUCACAGUUUCGGCUGCUAAGGUGGAAAUGGAUUUCUGACUGGCCCUCAGUGGCAGGGAGGCUGCUGCUGGCCCCUAGGCUGCACUCGUGCCUUUUGUCACACAGGCUAAAACAGAAAAGGUUGCAUUUUCAUUUACUAGCUGGGCCUGUGAGGUGCACAGGAUAACAAAAUCUCGAUUGUUAAUUAGCUGCCCCAAUUGUCUUUUUUAAGUCAAGUAUAUGUCCAUCUUCCCCCUUAUAUUAAUAUAUAUAUACAAAUAUGUACACAUAUGUAAAUAUAUAUGUACUUGUAUGGCUGGGUGUGUAUGUGUAUAAAUACACACACAUAUCUAUAGAUACAUCAUUUAUGUACGUGUUAAAAAAUAUAUAAAUGCCUGACUUUAUUGCCAAGUUGAGAAAGGGCUCUGGUGCUUUAAAUCAGUGCAGAAGAUGAAGCAGCUGUUGGGUCAAAUCUUUGCAGCUUUUCUAUUGUGUGAUUCUUGUUUCAGGCAGCAGCUGAGCCCACAGGCUCUGUGCAAGAAAUUUUGCUGAAGAAAUCCCCUCUGCACGUGGCCAGCAGCCUGAAUCAGCCUUUUCUGGUGGAUGGUGAAACAGUGGAAGACCUUUGAAGGGAAUUGCUGCCAUGGGGUUUGUCUGGCUGUGAGGUAUGUACAGCAUCCCUUGCCCCUGCUUCAUCUAUUUAGUGUUAAAGUGUGUUUUAUAGGCACAUUGCUAACAAGAGAUUGAAGGAGCUGCUUUGUAAUCAAAAAUAAAUAAUUCUAACUGUCUGCAUGAUAUGAUCUAUAUGUGGUUUUCUUUCAGGUAAGUUAAGAUGCAAAACCAGAGACAGUUGUGGUCCAGCUGAUGAGGUGGUAUAUAAAUCAAGAGUUGGGACACUAAGGUGAGUGGCAGAAAACUAACACUUAAUACCUCCCUGCACUGUUCCUCUGUGUUUGGGGCAACUGAAAAUGGGGUAAACAGUAAAAAACAGCUCCAGAUCCCAAGCUUUACUGAGUUUUUGUCUCCCUGACUAGUGUAGAGGCUUGCCACAUAUCUCCUACAGCAGGCUGGGAGACUGACCCUUCCUUAGAGCUAUAAACUCAGAUUGUUGCAAUGAGAAAUGUCUCUAACUAUUAUUAACCUUGUUUUGGAUUUAGGUUUUUUGCAGAUGUGCUUCCCUGAGGAGGAAGAGGGGAUGAUUUGGCUCCAGGAGCUGCAGUUCUGUCCCACCCCAUGUACCUGUUCCUGCAACCUCAGCAUCUCUCCUGCUGCUGUGGGGGUGCUUCCCUGAGAUCAGUCUGCCAGCUUGCACCUUCACCUGCAGGGCUGUGGCUCCUGUAGCCACAGAGACCUCCUCCUGUGUGCAGGGAGAGUGUUAGGCCUCCCUUGACAGAGCCAGGGCCGUGCUGAGAGGGGGAGUGGGACACAGAAAACCCUUCCAGCCUGGAGGAACCAGCAGCACUGCAGGCAGAAUCCUGUUGCACAGCAGCCAGACUGGCUGGCACCCCAUCAGGGCACUUCAUCCCCAGACAGCUGCAGCUGGCCGUGACAACAGCCAUGCUGGGCAGGGCUGGAGCAGGCUGCAGGGCAGCUAUGGGGGGAAUGCAGUGGCACCCAGGGGUGCUGCUUCCUGCACUGCACAAACCACACGUGCUGUACGCGUGAGACACAAACCCCUCGUGCCUGCCCCCAGUGCGCACCACGCUGGAGACACAAAACACACAGCCCUCCUCUCCUGAAACACACACCACCCCUGCUGCACAGCACUUCCACUCUGCUCACGUGGCAAGCAAAGUAGGGGUGUGCUGCAGACAUGGGGUACAAGCCACAUCAGCCAGCCUCAGGGGGCAGGGUCUGGGUGCUACUCCUGCUUUGCCAGUUCAGGUUUCCCAGCCCCUUCCUUUCUUGCACUGCUGGGAUUGACAGUAAGCAAAAGCAGAGCUCAGCACAUCCCCCCUGGGUAGGACAGCAGAGAAAGCAGCAUUCACCAUCUCCAUUCUUUCCUCUGCCCAUCACCUUUAACCAAACAACAUCCAUGAGAUUUGUCUUAGACCAUCUCAGCCUUCCCAAAGCACUUGUCCUGUUGACCCUCAAUAAUUUCAGGAUGCAUUCAAGUCUUGCUUGAGGCAACGCUGUGCCUGCUGGUUCACACUAAGCCAUGCACAGUGCUAAAGACACAGCUGGGUAGCUCAGGAGCAGAAGGCUGUUACAAGCUGGAGACUGACACUCAUUUCCCCCAAAUAUUUGAUAACAGUGGUUAAUUUCAAUGUCCUACCUGAGUCACUUGUUUGAAGCCAAGUAACCAAAACCAACAACAAAAAAAAAGCUUUUGUACCUUGGCACUAUGGUACAGCAACCAUCCCUCUGCAGUGUGGGCUUCAAGCUGGUUGACUUAAUUCAAAACUGUCUGGUCAAAGACAGUUUAUUUGCCAGGUAUAUGCACCCUUUUCCAAGUAAAACAUUCCAUCUCAGUAAGGUGGUUAACAGCCCACCCUUUCACCCUUAGGAGAAGCAGAUGCCGACUCCAGCACUCCACAGCAGCAAGUUAGAGGCAGUCCCCAAACAACUCUCUGCCUGUGCUGUGGCACAGCAGAUGCUCAGCUAGGGAAGAGCCAGCCUGCUCCCCUGUGUAACCCAACUCCCCCUGCCACAGCCUGGGUGUUUCAGCUGUGAGGGAGCCUUAGCAGGAAUGCUGCAGGACAGUGCUCCUGCCUGCUGAGCAUAGCUUUGAUGGUCACACAUCUUCCUUCUAGCUGGAGGGACUUGCAUGCCCAGCAGGCAGAGACCUGCCUUUCUCACAUAACUGCUCCUGGUGCUGUUAAUAAACCAAGCCUGGAGCAAGAGCUGUAUUUUGAUUGAUCCUGGACAGAGUGACUCACCAGGUUUGCUGUGGUGGAAGCAGCGUCUUAAAAAAAUGAAAACAAUCAACAACAACAACACCACAAACAAACAACAACAAAAUGCUAUUAAGCACAAUAAGCUGUUGCAUGUUCUGCCUCAGGGUGCAGGCCUGUGCUGGGGCUGAGAAGAGCAGGACAUACUGGUUUUUUGGGGAUUUUUAAAUUGUUUGUUUAUGUAUUGACUCACAAGCAGGUGAGGGCACUCUCCUCCCCUCUGGAAUCCUUCAGCAUCUGAGUGUCACUUGCUCUGUUCACCAAGAGCCACCCACCAAGAUCCACUCUCAGCUUCAGGCCACCAGCAGCACGUCCUUGGAGUUCACUGGGGAAAAAACAACUUUUUCUGAAGAGUUUAUGAAAUUUGGAAGCAGUGAACAGUUCAGAAUUCACACAAAAGGAGUGCAUAUCUUCAGUAAAACCAAAGUAUGAAAAUUACCUCCACCAAUACCCUUCUGAGGUACCAAUUUCAUGAGUAUUAACAACAGAGUGGCACUAGGUGGUUUCUCCCAGGCCUUGUCAAAGGGAAAAGACUCUGGGGAUCCUUUGUUAUUUCUGAUAAAGGUUUUAAAUUACACAUCUAGCUCCUAUUUUAGAAGGGAUUUUGACACCAAUGAGAAGAAUGCUGUUGGUGGUAGGGGUGAGGGGGACCUGCAUGCCUUGCUGGUGAAGGGUCACACAAUGUGUGACAGGUAACACAAUGUGUGCUGGUGCCUCCUCCCAUCCUGAGACUCAGGCAAAUCCACUGCAACCUGCUGGACAUCACAGGAAGCCUCACAAGUAUGGACACAAACCAAAAUCUGGUGCAAUCACAUCAAACAGUAAGUUCUCCAAAAAAAAAAAAAAAA